UUUUGUUGUUGUUUUUGUUUUUGUAUUGUUUUUGUGUUUUUGUUUUGAAUUUUUUCCUUUCCUACUAAGAUUAUGCCCAGAAAAAAGUUUUGCAUGUUUCCUGCUGUUUCUUCACACCUUCGUAUAUAUCACCUUCACCUCUCUGUUUUCUAUAGUUUGUGCAAAAACUGAUCGAUUUAAAAGGGUUUCAAAGAAGCUGUUUUAAAUUGUUGUAGGGUUUUUUUUUUUUCAAGAUUGUAUUGUUUAAUUUUGAAGUGGCAACUUUCUCCUCUAUUGCCCUUAGAGCGUUUGCCUGUGCACUUAGACUGUCACUUCGUGUGGCCUCCAGGUCUUACCGGGGCGUCCAGGAGGCUGGCUGCUCUGCUCAGAGAGGGUGGGAAGAGGGCCUGGAGAGACACGAGAAGCAGAGGUAGAGCCUAGAAGGUGGCAGCAGGUGGGUAAGAGGCUUAUUUAGCGCAUUAGGGGCAGUGAGCACCUGGAGGAAGGAGGGCGCUUCCAACCACCCGUAGGAGGCCAUCUGCGCACCAAGUGGCAAUUCACCUGCUGGCGCUUUUCCUAGGUGACAAGCACAAUACUACAGUCUUCACACUGUUUACAGCCCUGGGCACCAGCCACCCCGCACUGACUCUUCACCACAGCUCUGCUCUUGCUUAGCUAGUGGGGUGGGGGAAAGGGCAGGGAUUUGUUUUUUAAAUUGGGUGAAGAGCCAAACAGCUACUGUCCCUGGGUGCCAAGCAAGCCAGUUUUUUUGGUUCCCUGAGGGAAACUGACCCUCUUCUCUUGUGGCACCAUCCAGCCUCAGGGUCUUGGAGACUUCGGUAAGAAUGUGAGUGAAGGGGGAGAGGCGAGGAGAGGAGAGGUCAGGUCAGAGGGUGGAUCUGUAGAGGGAAGAGGUUACGGGGGAGGAGCUGAUGAUAGUUCCCACCCAGACCUAAGCUGCUGGUGGGUGGGUGAGCUGGGAAGGAGGACUGUCCAGGGAAGGGUGGAGAGAUGUAGCUAGGGGCUGGGGAGGGGGAGGUGGAAGCGCUGUUGAGCAUCCUCCACACCAAGGUUGAUGAAGGAAGGGAUCCCAGCAGGGUUUCUGCUCUGGGGCUGGCAGGUUGCCUGGUAUUAUGCCCAAGGCCAUUCUGCUUGGGGGAAAGGGCAGCCAGGCAGAGGCCCAGUGUCUGGUAGGCUGCUGAAUUUCCUGGAAGGGGUGAUUGGAUGGAAAGAGGCCAGAAACCCCAGCCUGAGAGACUACUGUGCGCCCCACAGUCUGACUGCACAGAGCCGCCUCUGUUGGCAGGAGGCACUGAGGCUCCCCUUCCUGUGUAUUGAGAAGCCGUGUUUGCCAAUAUAUUUUGCUUUCAAUUCCAAGAGGAGCUCUGGGAAAACCUGUGGAUAAAACCAAAUGCCAAAUGUUGGACGUUGUUUCCUUUUCCUUUUCUCUCUCUGAUUGUUUUAAUUGUUCUGUGGUGGUUUUAAUGGAUUUGAGACCCUGGAGCGGCAGCUGCCUUUCUGAUUUCCAGCUGCUUUUUGUGAAUAAUUUAAAAAGAAAAAAAAAAAAGAAACUUUACAUUUUGGAGACAAACCUGUGUGAGUUUUUUAUUGGUACAAACGUUGUAUUUAACACUAGGGGUUUUGUACAGUUUUUUGCCUUUUCUACUAGAAAACAAUGUAAAGUGAUUUCACAAUGUGAAGAGAAAAAAAAAUUGCCACUAUGACCAAACGCACAGUCUGUUCUGCAGCAACAACGGGAUUCAAUCAACUCAGUCGUGAUUCAGCCGUAGAAAUGCUUUUCCUUUAUCUUGUUUGAGCUUUUCCUUUCUUUCCUGUUUUGAUUUGCAAAAGAAAAUGUCUUUUUUGUGUGAACUUGUGUUGUACUCUGUAGAAAAUUAUGGAUUUUACUUUAAUGGUUUAAAAAAAGGCAAGGAGAGCCCUCGUCGCUUUUCUUACCUAAUCACAGAGUUUGUGUAGUGAAUUUAAAAAGAAAAAAAGAAUUGUUACAAGUUUGGAGCAAGGGAGUAUGUGUUUCAAAGGAAUCUCCUUCCUUUUUUUGUGUGUUUUUUCUUUUGUCCCAAUGGGGAACCUAAAUCUGUUUUAAUUGCACAGACACAUGGACAAAAAGUCAUUUUGUAUCUGCCAAGUGUGGUACCUUCCUUUGUUUAUUUGCUAUUAAACUGUUUGAGAA
ensembl:lncRNA